UUAGCUAGUAGGUGGGGUAACGGCUCACCUAGGCGACGAUCCCUAGCUGGUCUGAGAGGAUGACCAGCCACACUGGAACUGAGACACGGUCCAGACUCCUACGGGAGGCAGCAGUGGGGAAUAUUGCACAAUGGGCGCAAGCCUGAUGCAGCCAUGCCGCGUGUAUGAAGAAGGCCUUCGGGUUGUAAAGUACUUUCAGCGGGGAGGAAGGGAGUAAAGUUAAUACCUUUGCUCAUUGACGUUACCCGCAGAAGAAGCACCGGCUAACUCCGUGCCAGCAGCCGCGGUAAUACGGAGGGUGCAAGCGUUAAUCGGAAUUACUGGGCGUAAAGCGCACGCAGGCGGUUUGUUAAGUCAGAUGUGAAAUCCCCGGGCUCAACCUGGGAACUGCAUCUGAUACUGGCAAGCUUGAGUCUCGUAGAGGGGGGUAGAAUUCCAGGUGUAGCGGUGAAAUGCGUAGAGAUCUGGAGGAAUACCGGUGGCGAAGGCGGCCCCCUGGACGAAGACUGAC
rnacentral:rRNA from 1 species